rnacentral:rRNA from 1 species
CCUACGGGCGGCUGCAGUGAGGAAUAUUGGUCAAUGGACGAGAGUCUGAACCAGCCAAGUAGCGUGAAGGAUGACUGCCCUAUGGGUUGUAAACUUCUUUUAUAAAGGAAUAAAACGAGGCACGUGUGCCUUUCUGCAUGUACUUUAUGAAUAAGGAUCGGCUAACUCCGUGCCAGCAGCCGCGGCAAUACGGAGGAUCCGAGCGUUAUCCGGAUUUAUUGGGUUUAAAGGGAGCGUAGAUGGGUUGUUAAGUCAGUUGUGAAAGUUUGCGGCUCAACCGUAAAAUUGCAAUUGAUACUGGCAGUCUUGAGUACAGUUGAGGUAGGCGGAAUUCGUGGUGUAGCGGUGAAAUGCUUAGAUAUCACGAAGAACCCCGAUUGCGAAGGCAGCUUACUAAACUGUGACUGACAUUGAUGCUCGAAAGUGUGGGUAUCAAACAGGAUUAGAUACCCCUGUAGUC